AUUAGAGUUUCUUGACGCCUCUUG
rnacentral:siRNA from 1 species